rfam:Triticum aestivum genome assembly, contig: Triticum_aestivum_CS42_TGACv1_scaffold_577811_7BL
GUAAUACUCCCUCCGUCCGAAGAUACUUGUCAUCAAAAUGAAUAAAAUGAGAUGUAUGUCCGGAAAUACUUGUCAUCAAAAUGAAUAAAAGUACAUCCCCUUUUAUUCAUUUUGAUGACAAGUAUUUUCGGACGGAUGGAGUAAUUA